rnacentral:rRNA from 1 species
AUGGCCUUCGUCGCCAUCCACGCCCGCCUCGCCGUCCUCCCCCCUCGCCUCAGCGCCGCCGCGUCGUCUCUCCGCUCCGCUCCUCCCCGCACCCGUCUCCCGCCGCUCAGCACGUCAACCGGACACAUCUUCCGCAGCCUGCGGUGCCGGCGCCGGCCGUGUCGCGCUCGCGCCGCCUCCAUCACCGCAUCGCUCGACCUCACCGAGGACAACGUCCGGCAGGCCAUCGUCGACGCAAAAGCCGAGCUGGCCCAGCUGUUCGACACGUCGGUCGGCAUAACAGGGCAAGUUGAUCUGGCGGAGCUGGACGGGCCGUUCGUGAAGCUCCGGCUGAAGGGCAAGUUCUGGCACACCCGCGCCACCGUCGUCGCGCGGAUUGGCAACUACCUCAAGAACCGUAUCCCGGAAAUCUUGGAGGUGGAGAUCGAAGAUGAGGAGCAGCUUGACGACAGCCCCGCGGCUUACUGA